rnacentral:rRNA from 1 species
GAGCGCCGUAGCAAUACGGAGCGGCAGACGGGAGAGUAACACGUGGGAACGUACCCUUUGGUUCGGAACAACCCCAGGGAAACUUGGGCUAAUACCGGAUACGUCCGCAAGGAGAAAGAUUUAUUGCCGAAGGAUCGGCCCGCGUCCGAUUAGCUAGUUGGUGGGGUAAUGGCCCACCAAGGCGACGAUCGGUAGCUGGUCUGAGAGGAUGAUCAGCCUCACUGGGACUGAGACACGGCCCAGACUCCUACGGGAGGCAGCAGUGGGGAAUAUUGGACAAUGGGCGCAAGCCUGAUCCAGCCAUGCCGCGUGGGUGAUGAAGGCCUUAGGGUUGUAAAGCCCUUUCGGCGGGGAAGAUAAUGACGGUACCCGCAGAAGAAGCCCCGGCUAACUUCGUG